rnacentral:rRNA from 1 species
UAGGGAAUAUUGGGCAAUGGACGCAAGUCUGACUCAGCCAUGCCGCGUGCAGGAUGACGGCCCUACGGGUUGUAAACUGCUUUUACCCGGGAAGAAACCGCCCCCUGUGGGGGGCGUUGCCGGUACCGGGGGAAAAAGGAUCGGCUAACUCCGUGCCAGCAGCCGCGGUAAUACGGAGGAUCCGGGCGUUAUCCGGAAUUACUGGGUUUAAAGGGUGCGUAGGCGGGGCUUUAAGCCGGCGGUGAAAUGCAGCGGCUCAACCGCUGGAAUGCCGUUGGGACUGGGGCUCUUGGAUACGGUCGGGGCGGGUGGAACUCGUGGUGUAGCGGUGAAAUGCAUAGAUAUCACGAGGAACGCCGGUAGCGAAGGCAGCUCGCCGGGCCGGUAUUGACGCUGAGGCACGAAAGCGUGGGGAUCGAGCA